GGCCGCCAAUAAGCUGCAGAUUUCCCUCCUCAGAGCAGGUCUUUUAGCGAUCAAAUCAGCUCUAUAGAGCAGAGCCUCUACCAGUUAAGAAUUUUUUCUUUUGUGAUCAGGUGGUUCUAGGCUCUACAAGAGCUUGGGCUAGCCAUCUUUUAAAGAACAUUUGUACCGCAAUACCUCCGCAUAAGAAGGCAAAGAUGAGUUUUUUACCCUGUCAAUAAGUCAUCUAUAACCAACCAAACAAGACUUAGGAGAUUUUACUCAGAAGUUGUCCUGCUACUGGAACUCACUAGGGACCUCAGGAUGGUCUUAAGCCUGAAGUGCUGCGGUUAUAGGCACAAGCCAUCACAGUCCCAUCUGCAGCUACCCUGAGAGCUGCUAGAAGUGCUGCUCAUCCGACUUACCAAGCUGUGGAUGUGGCAGGUCCAUCUCUAACAGCAAGAAUUCCCAGGCGUACAAUACUAUUCCCCAUGGGGAGUGAGGUGAUGACAACUGAAAGAAGAUGAGGAGAUGGGUGAGCCGAAACGUCCUUGCCAAGCAUGUACUUGAGACCUUCUUGGUCAUCCCAAGCAUUGGAGGACCCGGAGAAGCAAGAAUUAUGUGGGACAAGAUGCUCAGGGAUAGGGAACAUCCACGAAGAUCCUCUGUGAAACCCUGAUACUGUGUAUUGGGGUAUGUCAAGCUCUCAAAAGCUAGUAGGGAUAUAUGGAAGGAUGGUUCACUGUGCAGAGAUGGGAUCAAGACAUGUGGCUUUUUGCAAGUCUUCCACUGGGGCUAUUUAAGAAAUAGCCAUGUUGGGAAUGACUGUGGGCCAGGUGACAUACAAGAGGCCUCUGUUGUUAUUGAGAAAGGAUGGUGUACUCAAGUUGAAAUACAAGGGGUAGGGGACAGGAUUCAGAGGGCUGGGUAGAAUUUAGACUUUUAGAUGUUCUUUGCAUUGUCCAGAAAUGAGUCUGAGUAAAUCGAUCAGAAGUUCAUAGGCAGAUGUGGUGGCUCACACCUGUAAUCAUAUCACUUGGAAGACGGAAACAGGAAGACUGCUGUAACGGGCUGUAGAGGCCAGGCUAGUCUCUGGCUCCUGAGUACCAGGAUCACAGGAAAACCAACGAAGAAUGAUUGCUCCACAGAAAGAGUACGCUACCCAGGUUUCUUGGUCACAAACGUUCCCUGUGUUCACAUGGAACACAAGCCUCAUUUUUGUACUGUCAGCCUUUCCUUUCUUUGUUUGCCGACUUAAAACUUCACUCUGGAUAUUGGAAUAAACCAAAUCUACAUC